UCAACUCACCACUGUCUCCCAUCUCUAGGAGAUGAUUUUACUCCCCAUUGCUCAGCAUUUGAAGGCUGGAUAGAAUAUCAGGGUGAGUUCUGAACUGCUCAGCACAAUCGUCCCUUUGUUAAACUGCAUCACCUCCCCAGAGUCCCCUCCCGACCCAUUCUGUGCAGUAACGCUGUUUAAAAUGGACAAGUUUCCAGACAGUCCUUGGCUUUUGGUUACCUUCCUUCAGCUAUGCACUCAGUGCAGCAGGAUGUCGGUCUCACAGGACACAAGUACAUUCUCCUGUUGCUUGACUGCAUUUCUUUAGUUAGGAGCUGUUUUGCUCUGCCCCAAGCAGCCUUCCCCAGGGCCUCAAAACAAUCAGGUCACUCUGUAUUUCUCUGCCUUACUGCCAUCUCCUCUCUCCUGCAGCUCCCAGGAUAUCUGAUACACGAGGUGAGCUCUGAGCUGCUGAGCAUUGUCACUUCCUUUGCUGAACCACAUCACCUUCUGCACACGGCCUCCCAUCCCUCCAGAAAUACCCUUCCAAAAGCACGUCUGGCUUGGGCUCUCCACUUUUUCCUUCUGUAUACAGGGCAGGGACCUGGCUCCAACAGAGCUCUUCAGGCACUCCUGGCACUUCAGAUGUCUAAGGAUCUGGAUAGUUCUUGCCUUUUGACCUCUCUUAUGCACUAAUGAUGGCAGGAUAAUGAUGGAAAUGGCAACGCAGCAAGGACAAGAAGAAUUAUUGCAGCUCUUAGGGCCAGAGGGAGGUAGGUGCUCACUCCUUACCUUUCAGCUUCAUUCGGUGGCACAGCUUCAAAACUGAGAGAACAGCUGGGGAAGCUGUUUCCAUUCACAAAACCUGCACGUCCAGAACACGAGCCUUUUGAUGUGGAGAGCAGCAGCGGCACAGGCUCAGGUCCCAAAUGCAUGGCAUGCUCAAGUCCAGAGGUAAGAUGCUGUGCUCCCCUGCUCAGUUCAGAGUGGUUUUCCAGGGCACCCUUGCACACAUCUGUCUCUGGUGAUUACUCACCAGGGAUUCAGAGCCUGGAGUGCUUCUCCCAUGAAGAAAGCCUGAGAGCAUUGGGUUGCCCAGAGAGGUUCUAGAGUCUCCUUCCCUGAGGUUCUUCAAAACCUGAUGUACAUGGGCCUGGGAAACCUGCUCUGGGUGGCCCUGCAGGAGGGUUUGGACCAGAUCAUACAGUCGUGGAAUAAUGUAGUUUGGAAAAGGCCUCUAAGGAUAUCAUUUCAGAGCACUAAUGUAGACAGGCCUGAGCACAGAGUCAUAACGUCAUAGAACUGGAGAAUGGUAGAUUUAUAGAAUUAUAGAAUCACAGAAUCACAGAAUUUGUAGAAUCAUUUAGGUUGGAAAAGAGCUAUACGUUCCAGUCCAACCAUCAACUACUACUACAAGUCCACCUCUGAACUGUGUCCCAGUCAUCACAUCCACAUGUCUCUUAAAGCCGUCCAGGGAUGAGGAACCCAUUAAACCAAACCAGCCUCGAUACUGAAUUUAAUCCUGUCUGUGAUUCUGUGCUUCUUGUUCAGGAGGACAAGGCAGAAGAAGUGAAGCCAGAGAUUACUGGUGGCAAAGAAGGCAAGAAAGAGAUAUACAGAGCUCAUUUUCCUCGGUCUGGCUUCUUCUGGUGCACUGAGACAGAGCUCAAGUUCCUAGUGAGAAUGGCCACCACAGCUGAGUAUGAGUACUCCUCCUGGGGAAGUCACCUGCCUGCAGGGAUCCCCUCUGGAUGGAUGGAGGCCGGACCUGUGUUUGACAUCCGUGCUGAACCACAUGCUGUUGUGGCCAUUCACCUCCGCCAUUUCCUGUGUCUUGCAGAGGGGAAGUUAAGCACAUCUGGGAUGCGUGUCGGCCAUGUCAUGGAUGGGAACCUGCUCCUGGAGAAGCCUGGUGCAGUGAAGCCAUUCCAUGCA